rnacentral:rRNA from 1 species
GUGGGGAAUUUUGGACAAUGGGCGCAAGCCUGAUCCAGCAAUGCCGCGUGCAGGAAGAAGGCCUUCGGGUUGUAAACUGCUUUUGUACGGAACGAAACGGUCCGGGUUAAUACCCUGGGCUAAUGACGGUACCGUAAGAAUAAGCACCGGCUAACUACGUGCCAGCAGCCGCGGUAAUACGUAGGGUGCAAGCGUUAAUCGGAAUUACUGGGCGUAAAGCGUGCGCAGGCGGGUUUGUAAGACAGGCGUGAAAUCCCCGGGCUCAACCUGGGAAUUGCGCUUGUGACUGCAAGGCUGGAGUGCGGCAGAGGGGGAUGGAAUUCCGCGUGUAGCAGUGAAAUGCGUAGAUAUGCGGAGGAACACCGAUGGCGAAGGCAAUCCCCUGGGCCUGCACUGACGCUCAUGCACGAAAGCGUGGGGAGCAAACAGGAUUAGAAACCCCGGUAGUCC